AUUGAACGCUAGCGGGAUGCUUUACACAUGCAAGUCGAACGGCAGCGCGGACUUCGGUCUGGCGGCGAGUGGCGAACGGGUGAGUAAUGUAUCGGAACGUGCCCAGUAGCGGGGGAUAACUACGCGAAAGCGUAGCUAAUACCGCAUACGCCCUACGGGGGAAAGCAGGGGAUCGUAAGACCUUGCACUAUUGGAGCGGCCGAGAUCGGAUUAGCUAGUUGGUGAGGUAACGGCUCACCAAGGCGACGAUCCGUAGCUGGUUUGAGAGGACGACCAGCCACACUGGGACUGAGACACGGCCCAGACUCCUACGGGAGGCAGCAGUGGGGAAUUUUGGACAAUGGGGGAAACCCUGAUCCAGCCAUCCCGCGUGUGCGAUGAAGGCCUUCGGGUUGUAAAGCACUUUUGGCAGGAAAGAAACGCCGCGGGCUAAUACCCCGUGGAACUGACGGUACCUGCAGAAUAAGCACCGGCUAACUACGUG
rnacentral:rRNA from 1 species